rnacentral:rRNA from 1 species
CAGUAGCCGCGGUAAUACGGAGGGUGCAAGCGUUAAUCGGAAUUACUGGGCGUAAAGCGCACGCAGGCGGUCUGUCAAGUCAGAUGUGAAAUCCCCGGGCUCAACCUGGGAAUGGCAGUGGAUACUGGCUCGCUAGAGUGUGUCAGAGGAUGGUGGAAUUCCCGGUGUAGCGGUGAAAUGCGUAGAGAUCGGGAGGAACAUCAGUGGCGAAGGCGGCCAUCUGGGACAACACUGACGCUGAGGCACGAAAGCGUGGGGAGCAAACAGGAUUAGAUACCCCCGUAGUCCCUGUCUCUUAUAC